AGCGAACGCUGGCGGCAGGCCUAACACAUGCAAGUCGAGCGCCGUAGCAAUACGGAGCGGCAGACGGGAGAGUAACACGUGGGAACGUGCCCUUCAGUUCGGAACAACCCAGGGAAACUUGGGCUAAUACCGGAUACGUCCGUAAGGAGAAGGAUUUACCGCUGAAGGAUCGGCCCGCGUCUGAUUAGCUAGUUGGUGGGGUAAUGGCCCACCAAGGCGACGAUCAGUAGCUGGUCUGAGAGGAUGAUCAGCCUCACUGGGACUGAGACACGGCCCAGACUCCUACGGGAGGCAGCAGUGGGGAAUAUUGGACAAUGGGCGCAAGCCUGAUCCAGCCAUGCCGCGUGGGUGAUGAAGGCCCUAGGGUUGUAAAGCCCCUUCGGCGGGGAAGAUAAUGACGGUACCCGCAGAAGAAGCCCCGGCUAACUUCGUGCCAGCCGCCGCCGUAACAC
rnacentral:rRNA from 1 species